rnacentral:rRNA from 1 species
UCUGUGAGCAGGAAAGCAGGGGACCGCAAGGCCUUGCGCUCUUUGAGCGGCCAAUGUCAGAUUAGCUAGUUGGUGAGGUAACGGCUUACCAAGGCGACGAUCUGUAGCGGGUCUGAGAGGAUGAUCCGCCACACUGGAACUGAGACACGGUCCAGACUCCUACGGGAGGCAGCAGUGGGGAAUUUUGGACAAUGGGGGCAACCCUGAUCCAGCCAUGCCGCGUGAGUGAAGAAGGCCUUCGGGUUGUAAAGCUCUUUCGGCCGGGAAGAAAUCGCAUGGGCCAAUACCCUGUGUGGAUGACGGUACCGGAAUAAGAAGCACCGGCUAACUACGUGCCAGCAGCCGCGGUAAUACGUAGGGUGCGAGCGUUAAUCGGAAUUACUGGGCGUAAAGCGUGCGCAGGCGGUUUUGUAAGACAGGCGUGAAAUCCCCGGGCUCAACCUGGGAACUGCGUUUGUGACUGCAAGGCUAGAGUACGGCAGAGGGGGGUGGAAUUCCACGUGUAGCAGUGAAAUGCGUAGAGAUGUGGAGGAACACCAAUGGCGAAGGCAGCCCCCUGGGUCGAUACUGACGCUCAUGCACGAAAGCGUGGGUAGCAAACAGGAUUAGAUACCCUGGUAGUCCACGCCCUAAACUAUGUCAACUAGGUGUUGGGUGGGUAAAACCAUUUAGUACCGUAGCUAACGCGUGAAGUUGACCGCCUGGGGAGUACGGCCGCAAGGUUAAAACUCAAAGGAAUUGACGGGGACCCGCACAAGCGGUGGAUGAUGUGGAUUAAUUCGAUGCAACGCGAAAAACCUUACCUACCCUUGACAUGCCAGGAACUUGCCAGAGAUGGCUUGGUGCCCGAAAGGGAGCCUGGACACAGGUGCUGCAUGGCUGUCGUCAGCUCGUGUCGUGAGAUGUUGGGUUAAGUCCCGCAACGAGCGCAACCCUUGUCGUUAAUUGCCAUCAUUUAGUUGGGCACUUUAGCGAGACUGCCGGUGACAAACCGGAGGAAGGUGGGGAUGACGUCAAGUCCUCAUGGCCCUUAUGGGUAGGGCUUCACACGUCAUACAAUGGUCGGUACAAAGGGUCGCCAAGCCGCGAGGUGGAGCCAAUCCCAGAAAGCCGAUCGUAGUCCGGAUUGCAGGCUGCAACUCGCCUGCAUGAAGUCGGAAUCGCUAGUAAUCGUGGAUCAGCAUGUCACGGUGAAUACGUUCCCGGGUCUUGUACACACCGCCCGUCACACCAUGGGAGCGGGUUCCGCCAGAAGUAGGUAGCCUAACCGCAAGGAGGGCGCUUACCACGGCGGGGUUCGUGACUGGGGUGAAGUCGUAACAAGGUAGCCGUAGGGGAACCUGCGGCUG